CCUACGGGAGGCAGCAGUGGGGAAUAUUGCACAAUGGGGGAAACCCUGAUGCAGCGACGCCGCGUGAGUGAAGAAGUAUUUCGGUACGUAAAGCUCUAUCAGCAGGGAAGAAAAUGACGGUACCUGACUAAGAAGCCCCGGCUAACUACGUGCCAGCAGCCGCGGUAAUACGUAGGGGGCAAGCGUUAUCCGGAUUUACUGGGUGUAAAGGGAGCGUAGACGGCAGCGCAAGUCUGGAGUGAAAUCCCAUGGCUGAACCAUGGAACUGCUUUGGAAACUGUGCAGCUAGAGUGCAGGAGAGGUAAGCGGAAUUCCUAGUGUAGCGGUGAAAUGCGUAGAUAUUAGGAGGAACACCAGUGGCGAAGGCGGCUUACUGGACUGUAACUGACGUUGAGGCUCGAAGGCGUGGGGAGCAAACAGGAUUAGAUACCCGGGUAGUC
rnacentral:rRNA from 1 species